GCUGGGAUAGCUCAGUCAGCAGAGCGCGAGGCUCUUAAUCUCUGGGUUAUGGGUUCAAGCCCCACACUGGGCA